UGGGCUGGUUGACCUUGGAUGUGAAUCUGGGCAAGGUGAGAGGAGAGUGACUUAGCGAAGGUCCAGGGAAGCAGGCGCCUUAUUUUUUCCAGCUGUAUUGAGAUGGAAUUGACUUUCAAUAUUGGGAAAACUGAAGAUGGAGGCAGAGACUGCAGUCAGGCAGCUGCAAGGUGAGGAACACCACGGACUGACGGCACCAGCAGAAACGAGGAAGAGGCAAGAAAGGAUUCUACCCAGAGCCUCAGAGAGAGCAUGGCCCUGCUGACACCUCGAUUUCAGACUUGUAGCCUCCAGAACUGGAGAUAAUAAAGCUCUGUUUUUCU